rnacentral:rRNA from 1 species
CUACGGGAGGCAGCAGUGGGGAAUCUUGCGCAAUGGGCGAAAGCCUGACGCAGCGACGCCGCGUGAGCGAUGAAGGCCCUCGGGUCGUAAAGCUCUGUGGGGAGGAAAGAAUAAGGGUAGGUUAAUAUCCUGCCUGAUGACGGUACCUCCUUAGCAAGCACCGGCUAACUCUGUGCCAGCAGCCGCGGUAAUACAGAGGGUGCGAACGUUGUUCGGAAUCACUGGGCGUAAAGCGGGUGUAGGCGGCUUGGCAAGUCGGGUGUGAAAUCCCAGGGCUCAACCCUGGACGUGCACUCGAAACUGCUGAGCUCGAGUCCUGGAGAGGAAGGUGGAAUGCUUGGUGUAGAGGUGAAAUUCGUAGAUAUCAAGCGGAACACCGGUGGCGAAGGCGGCCUUCUGGACAGUGACUGACGCUGAGACCCGAAAGCGUGGGGAGCAAACAGGAUUAGAAACCCUAGUAGUCC